GAUAUUCGACGUCAUAAACACUAUUAACUUUGGUGUUUAUGAUGUCGAUAAUCGACGUCAUAAGCACAAUCAACUUAGGUGUUUAUGACGUCGAUAUUCGACGUCAUAAACACGAUCAACUUUGGUGUUUAUGACGUCGAUAUUC
rnacentral:miRNA from 1 species